AUGUUUUGGAGCCCUCGCCCGUCCCACUGCCUCUGGACAGACCUCAGGAGACACGGGAGCUACAGAUCUCCUGCGGCAGAGCCCACCCUCUUGUCCUGGCAGAUGGCGAACGAGAUUGCUCCCAGCCGUAGUGACAGUCACGAAGUCCACAGAGUGCAGGACUUCGAUGAACAGGUGUUCCAGCCUAGCCUGAUGGCUGGGAUCCUGCCCCACCUCGGAGACCAGGCCAUGGAAGCUGUGUUCCUGACAGCCCGGUGGAAGGUGAGCUGUGGGUCCUCCUCCGCUUCCUCAGUAUAGUCCUUGUGGCAGGUUGUCACCUGUGCUUCUGACCAACUGGCUAUAAACUGGAGGUUUUCACAUCCCCCUCCUUGGUUUCUAUUGAUUUGCUAGAGUGGCUCACACAACUCAGAAAAACAGUUUAUUUACUAGAUUACUGGUUUAUUAUAAAAGAAUAUACUCAGGAACAGCCAGAUAGGAGAGAUGCACAGGACAAGGUUUGUGGGAAGAGGUGCAGAGUUUCCAUGCUCUCUCCAGGCACGCCCUGCCUCCCACUACCUCCCCCUGUUUUGGGGUUUUUAUGGAGGUUCGUUACAGAGGCGUGAUUGAUGGAAUCAUUCAACCUCCAGCUCCUUUCUCCUCCCCAAAGGUGUUGGAGCGGGGAUGAAAGAUCUAAUCACAUGGGUGGUCCCCUGGCAACCAGCCCCCAUCCUUAGGAGCUUUCCAGAGGUCACAUCAUUAACAUGAACUUAGGUGUGGUUGAAAGGGAGUUGUUAUGAGUAACGAGACAUUCUUUUCACUUACAUGGCUCUGGAGCUAUUUUGGAACCCUGGGUCAAAAGACCAAAAGGAUGCUCCUUUGUUCUUAUGCCUUAGGAAAUUCUAAGAGUUUUAGGAGCUCUGUGCCAGAAACAGGAAUAAAGACCAAAUAUAUAUUUCUUAUUGUAAAUCA
rnacentral:lncRNA from 1 species